rnacentral:rRNA from 1 species
UACGUAGGGUGCGAGCGUUGCCCGGAUUUAUUGGGCGUAAAGGGUGCGUAGGCGGGUAGGUAAGUCAGUGGUGAAAUCUUCGAGCUUAACUCGGAAAACUGCCUUUGAUACUAUCUAUCUUGAAUAUUGUGGAGGUAAGCGGAAUAUGUCAUGUAGCGGUGAAAUGCUUAGAUAUGACAUAGAACACCUAUUGCGAAGGCAGCUUACUACGCAUAUAUUGACGCUGAGGCACGAAAGCGUGGGGAUCAAACAGG